CCGGCUGGGAAACGUGGCUGCAAUAGUCUCAUGGCUGCUGCUGCUUUCGAGUUAGGUGCCAAGCCCCAGCCGAGUGCUCUGGCCCUGUGAGUGUGAGUGUGCGUGCCCAUGGGUGGUGAGCUGACACCGGAAAACAGAAGUUCCAAGAAGUCCUUCAAAAAUAAGGAUAAACUGGCCUUGAGUGGAAGCCUGGACCUUGUGAAAUAUGAUUGUCCAAACGCCAGGGCCUGGCAGGUGGGGAAGAAGGGCAGUGGGGGUGUCCGGAGCGGCUGCACGUUGAAAUCCUGGUGCCCAGACUACAUCUCAGACCAAUUCUAUCAGAACUCCUAGAGCAGAGGCCCCAGCGUCAUUGUGUUUUAAAACUUACAGAUGAUUCCCAAUGUGCAGCUGAAGUUGGGAAGCACUCACUGCUCCCCACACUGAGUGUCACUCCAGUGACAGCUAGUGUGUGGUGGGGGAGUAGGGAGACAGGAAAGCCAGCGACAUAGCAUCUGGGCCAGAGUGAAGGUUCUAGCCCGCUGCUCCCCACACCUCCCCCCACUUUAGGCACAGAAAAUUCAUUGUCUUGAAAAAAAAUUCUGACUGGCUUUGACUGUAUUAAAUUUCCUGAAUCAUUUUUUAUUCCGUUUUUUUGGGAGGUAUGUACAUUCUUUAUUUGGGUCAUGGGAAUAUAGUUAAUAAAUUAUAAUAUUUCUUAGUUCUUUUGAGAAUUUCCACAGGAUAGAUUUAGCCCCAGCCCUCUGAAGUCAUUUUCACUUUCAUUUAAAAAAUAGGUAAUAAACCACUUCAUAAAUGUCAAA